rnacentral:tRNA from 1 species
GAAAUUUUAGUUUAACGCUAAGAAAAAAUUUUUUUUUUACAAAAAAAAGAUAUUAUAAUUAUAUUAAAUUUUA